rnacentral:ncRNA from 1 species
UUGGUUCCGGUUCACGCCAAGGAGCAGAUCCAGCUCCGCAUCGAAAUGGCGACCCGGUGCC